rnacentral:ncRNA from 1 species
GCCAGUAGUCAUAUGCUUGUCUCAAUUACUAAGCCAUGCAAGUCUAAGUACGAGCUCUCGUACAGUGAAACUGCGAAUGGCUCAUUAAAUCAGUUAUGGUUCAUUUGAUCGUACAGUUUACUUGGAUAACUGUGGUAAUUCUAGAGCUAAUACAUGCGAGAAGCGCCGACCUCGCGGGAGGCGUGCAUUUAUCAGACCAAAAACCGGCCGCGUCUUCGGGCGCGUUCGCCUUGGUGACUCUGGAUAACUUUGCGGAUCGCACGGUCUAGCACCGGCGACGGAUCAUUCAAGUGUCUGCCCUAUCAACUUUCGUCGGUACGGUAUUUGCCUACCGAGGUUCUUACGGGUGACGGGGAAUCAGGGUUCGAUUCCGGAGAGGGAGCCUGAGAAACGGCUACCACAUCCAAGGAAGGCAGCAGGCGCGCAAAUUACCCAUUCCCGACGCGGGGAGGUAGUGACGAAAAAUAACAAUGCAGGACUCGUUCGAGGCCCUGUAAUUGGAAUGAGUACACUUUAAAAGCUUUAACGAGUAUCCAUUGGAGGGCAAGUCUGGUGCCAGCAGCCGCGGUAAUUCCAGCUCCAAAAGUAUAUAUUUAAGUUGUUGCGGUUAAAAAGCUCGUAGUUGGAUUUUGGGCGCAGGCGGCCGGUCCGUCGCAAGGCGUGUACUGGACGUCCUGGC